rnacentral:rRNA from 1 species
CGUACGCUUCUUUUUCCACCGGAGCUUGCUCCACCGGAAAAAGAGGAGUGGCGAACGGGUGAGUAACACGUGGGUAACCUGCCCAUCAGAAGGGGAUAACACUUGGAAACAGGUGCUAAUACCGUAUAACAAUCGAAACCGCAUGGUUUUGAUUUGAAAGGCGCUUUCGGGUGUCGCUGAUGGAUGGACCCGCGGUGCAUUAGCUAGUUGGUGAGGUAACGGCUCACCAAGGCCACGAUGCAUAGCCGACCUGAGAGGGUGAUCGGCCACAUUGGGACUGAGACACGGCCCAAACUCCUACGGGAGGCAGCAGUAGGGAAUCUUCGGCAAUGGACGAAAGUCUGACCGAGCAACGCCGCGUGAGUGAAGAAGGUUUUCGGAUCGUAAAACUCUGUUGUUAGAGAAGAACAAGGAUGAGAGUAACUGUUCAUCCCUUGACGGUAUCUAACCAGAAAGCCACGGCUAACUACGUGCCAGCAGCCGCGGUAAUACGUAGGUGGCAAGCGUUGUCCGGAUUUAUUGGGCGUAAAGCGAGCGCAGGCGGUUUCUUAAGUCUGAUGUGAAAGCCCCCGGCUCAACCGGGGAGGGUCAUUGGAAACUGGGAGACUUGAGUGCAGAAGAGGAGAGUGGAAUUCCAUGUGUAGCGGUGAAAUGCGUAGAUAUAUGGAGGAACACCAGUGGCGAAGGCGGCUCUCUGGUCUGUAACUGACGCUGAGGCUCGAAAGCGUGGGGAGCAAACAGGAUUAGAUACCCUGGUAGUCC